GAUGUUCUAGGAAAGUGAGCAUGAGAAUUAUAAAAUACUGCAAGAGCCAGACAGAAUGCUUCCCUCUUUCUCUUCCUCUUUCAUCUCUCAUACACACACACACACACACAAGCGUCUGGACUAUCAGAAUAGAGGACCGAAAAGAGUGUGCUGCAGAUCAAACUUGCCUUCAGCUGCUGUCAAAAUGCUCAGUGAAUUUAUAAAUAUUUUAUUUCUAAGAAACCUGCUGAAUGAACUUGACAACGACGUCUCCUGCUAUUCACGAGUCGACUUAUUGUCUGCUGAGGCAUGGCAUUCCACUCUUCUUGAAGGGCGGCCCUCAGGUCGGGGUUCUGGGGUGUUCUGGUUACGAGCCUCUACGCGGCAACUCAGCUGAUCCCAUAGGUUUUCUAUGGGAUUCAGGUCUGGAGAAAGUGCAGGCCACUCCAUCUGAGGUACCCCAGCCUUCAGCAGCCGUUCCCUAAUGAUGCGACCUCGAUGAGCUGGAGCAUUGUCGUCCAUGAAGAUGAAAUUAGGCCUGUGUUGUUCAUGCAGGGGCACAAUGACUGUAUUAAUGAUGCUGUACCAUUCACAAGACGUAGGGCAGUUCUGUAUUGAGUAGACACACCUACCCAGACUGUAACACCACCACCACCAAAGGCUCGUUUGGUGACAACAGCGGCUGAUGCAUAGCGCUCUCCUUGACGUCUCCAAUAUCAUUGGCGGCCAUCAUUUCUGCUCAUCGUGAAUCGACUUUCAUUAGAGAACAGCACUGAGGCCCACUGGUCCCUCGUCCAGCGUAAAAACCGAAUAUCCUUAACUUUUUGUGAGUAGUGUAAGUAACAUAAAAUCCACAUCUGUGUAUGAAACGUCAUAUGUGUGGACAUACUGUAGAGUAUCUACUGUAAUACACCUAUUAUGAGCUCUGUAUACAUUUUAGCCAUUCAAGAACUUUAGUCGUUGUUAACACAGACAAACAGAUCCUCCGGUCUGCUGUGUCAGUGUGUGUUUCAGGUGUUAUUAAAAUGUAGAUUCUACUUUGCUUAGCUGAGAAUCUUCCAGGUUGGCAAGACUGGGUUCAGACAUGGUUGAAAGAUCUGUUAUGCAACAUGUGAGAUCCUGCUAAUCUGCUUUGGCCACUUACUCCUUUUGUGUAUCUCAACCACACACACACACACAGCUGAAUGUCAUUAAUGGGUUUAAGACCAAGCUCCUGCACUUGCAUGUGACUGAGAGGGGAAAAGAGAAAUCACUACCAAUGAAUAUAAUCUACAACGGUUUCUCAUCUUCUCAUCCUAAGAUCUUGUGGGUCAUUUUAUGUGUCUAUCUCCCAUCUUCCUCUUUGUUGUCUGCAAUUACAAAUCCCUUCUCUGAUCUGGUCUGGGACAUUAGUCUGAACACAGAAGGUCAGCUGGACAUGGUGGCUAAGCUUGCUUUUAACCGCAUUACUCAGUGUGCUAGCAUAUGCUAACUCUCUCUCCCACACACAGACACGCAUACACACACACUGCAGGUGAGAAGCAGACUGCUCACCUCUUUAAUGCCCACUGUCACAUGGGCUCAGCAUUGGGAGGAUUGACCGUGCCAUUGAUCUAAGAAGCAGGGGAGGGUGUGUAGAUAAUCACACACACACACACACACUCACACACACACACAACCUAAAGCACAUGCUGCAUUAGUUUGGCUCCGUCAUCUUGAGGACCUGAGGGCCGAGCUAAGCUAAAUUAGUUAAUUAGCAUUGCGCCCUUUCUAGGCAGCAUUAGCUAGAAAACAAACAAGCCAGUAAGGAACUAGGCUUCUCUAUACAAAUGCUUCUGCCAUGAGACACACUUUGUCCUUUGUUUCCUUCUUCUUUAUUUGCAUUCAUUCAGUAAUAACGGAAGUGAGAGAAAAUGAGGAACACAGAUAGCAACUUCCUUUUGUGUCCUGGAAAAAAAAACAGUUAAGCAUCAAAUUUGCAAAGAAAUCCAGAUCCAGCUUUCUAUUUGGACUGCAUUAUUAGAGAUUUGGAGGCACAGCAGUAAUUGAAAACAAUGUAAAAAUCAUGUCCUGGUCAUGAGACUGAUGUGGAGCCAAACACAUUCUGUUGCUGCAGAGAAUGAAAGCAAUCAGUAGAUUCUCUUUUAUAAAGGUGUUAAUAUAAAGAAGAGGCCCUUACGCAUGUGUUGUUAAAAUAAUAUGGGUUUCCCAUAAGGCCUCUCAAUUCCCUCAAGUGAGAGCUUAAUCCUCAUGAGGACCUUAAGCAGUCAAUGAUUUGGCAAGAGUCCAGUCUUGCUUGUUAAAUCCCAAACAGAUAGCGAGUACACAUGUACACAGUGAAGAAGAACUAGCAAUUUUAUGCUUCUGUAAGUUCCACUGUUCAGCUAUCUUGUCACAGAGGGGAAGAAGAAACUGUUGCUCAGACAGUUCCUUAUUAAAGGAACAGUCAUCAAUAACAGCAAGUAUAAUAUGUCAUAAGUGUAGGAAAGUGGGUCAAAGAAGUAGUCAAAGGCUAUAUUAGAAAAUAGGGCAGAUAUCAGAUAUCAGAGCUACUAUUACAAUGUCACACAAAAUCACAGAAACACAAGUGAAAAUAUUUAACAAGGAUUAGCAAUAUAAUAGAGAGUAGAAGCCUUUAUUAUCACCACACAUACAUUACAGCGGAAUUUGUUCCUUCACAUAUCCCAGCUGAGGAAGUUGAGGUCAGAGCGCAGGGACAACUGUGAUACAGCGCCCCUGGAGAAGAAAGGGUUAAGGACCUUGCUCAAUUGCCCAACAGUAGCAGCUGGGCAGUGCUGGGGCUUGAACACCAAUCAACAACCCAGAACCUUAACCACUUGAGCUACUACUGCCCCUUAGAUAUCAGUAACAAUAUAAUAAUAGAAUAUUUGCACUCCCAUCAGUGAACAGUUGAUUACUUAAUAGAAAACAAAAUAGAUUUGUGUUAAAACUAGAAUGAUUGCACUUGAACUGUAAAACAUGAUAGUUACCUGAAAUGUAUUUCUUCUCUGUAACUAUAAGUUAUAUAGGAGAAGAACAAUUCAAGGUACAAAUAUGAGAGCAGAAAAUAAAGCAUUAAAAGCUGUUCAUGUUAUUUUAUUCACACAUUUUAGCUCAGAAAGUUUUCCUCACAUUCUAAAAGCUGUCAAUAAAGUAGCUGCUUGAAGGAGAAACUGUGGUCUCAGUGGUGCGGCUGGCUCUAUAAUGGAUUGUCAAACAACCUAAAGAAAAGGAUGCAUCUGUGUAUACUUUCCAGUAUGAUGAGUAGUCUAUGCAGCACAUGUGCAUGGUCUUCAGCCACAGUACUUCAUGGGAAAAGGAUGAAAUUACAGCUGCUCCUGUGUGCACAACAUUUAACAUUAACCAACCAAAAAUAUAAAGACAAAUCAGAGAACUCUACAACCGAACUAAAACACAAGGGCAACUUUGGAAACAUGAUAGCAAACGUCAUUAUGUCACGGUUAUUCACUUGACUUCAUUACCCAUCAACCCCUGUAUGUAAUUUGACACAUCUCCCUGUUCUGUAUUUCCCAGAAUCAGCACCUCUACCUAAUUUCUGCUUUCUGCAUUAGAUAUAAAUACACAACGCUCACUUUUGUCAAUCUGAAUGAAUUCAAUAAGAUUACUGAUUCAGAAUGUACGUACCUUAAACACUGCAGUCUGAUUCAGAUAUUCAUUUACAUAGAUUCCAAACGAAACCUCUUUAAAACUUUGUGGGUUUUUUAUUGACUGGGAAAAUGUUCAGAUUUGGGUGUUUAUAUGCCAAUUAUUUUCCUAUUUACCAGAUUAUUUUGGAUCUACGCCAAACCUUUAGAAAAUCUUUUCAAUCUGAUCAAGCCAUCAAUACGAUUCCUAAAAGAUUACAUGGUUGCAUGUAAAUGUAUCGAGUGUCAUACUUGUUGAACACAUGUCUGUUUGAUGCUUUACUUGCCAUAGUCUUGCCCAUAGUCUGCAUGUUUUGUGUUGUCUAUAUUCACUGUGUUAGCCGUGAAGGUCUGCACUCCGUCACCUUGAAAAUCCCUGACAGCAAAACCAACAACAAACAGCAGUACAUCAAAAUGGAAAGGGAAAGAAGUUCUUAUUGGACAUCACAAUCCCACUGCUGAUUGGACACCUUAACGUCAAGGGAAAAGAACUGUGCAUUUUCCAUCUAUUGGCCUUGAAAAAAAGCCCAACAUUUUAAUGCCCAACAUUAAAGAUGAGCUGUUCUUUCUUCUGAAUAACCCAAGCUCCUAUUAUAAUGAUUUCAGUGUCCAUAUACUCAUAUUAAUGCUGUACAAACAGCACAUCUCUUUCAUAUGACUGCCCUGGAUGCACACAAAUAAAAACACUGAUACAUUGAUCUACCUAUCUGUUUCUGUUUAUCCUGCAGCUCUCUAUUUAAUGCAGUCUCUCAGACUGAAGCUGCGUUCAUACAUACAGUGAUUUCCAGUCACUGUACUAUGAAGUAGGUGUUCCUACAACUGGUUGCCAUAGUAAUAACAUUUAUCAGUGGGUGGAGUAACAAGCAUUCAAAAACAAUUUUCUUGUUGCUAAAAUGAAACAGAGUGUUUGUGUAUAAAAUCCAGCAGUGUAUAUCUACAUCAUAUCAUACAAGAUCAGUGUGUGUGUGCUUUGUCACAUAUCACAUGUGCCCUUCUGGCUUCACUCUCAUCGGUGCACCGAGUCGCUCCAUAUUUGCAUAAAGUUCAAGUUUUCUCACAUCACUGGACAAACCUGCAUGUAGUCGCCAACAGUUUCUGUCAGUCAUGUAGUCAGAACUCACAGGUCUCAUUGACAAUGAAUGAUGUCCAGCUGCUUUGCUGCUGUGAGUCGCUGUAUGUGUGAACGCAGCAUUUGCUGAGAAAGCCAAUACCUACUUCCCUGUCUGUUUUGAGUUUAAUGUUUUUUUAAUUUGCUGUUAUGGUUGUUAUCGUGUUUUUGAAUGUGCUUUCAUGUUUUAUGGUUGAUAUUUUUUGGCACAGUCUGAUUUGCUGUUAAGUCUUGGCUUUGUUAAUGUGUUUUGCAGGGCAGCACAGUGGGUAGCUUUACCACCUCCAGGGUUUGAUCCUCAGCUUGGGUUUGAUGUCUGUAGAGUUUCGCAUGCUCUCUCCAUGUUCACGUGGGUUUCCUCUGGAUUCUUUGGUGUCCUUCCACUGUCAAAAACAUGCAUGUAUACAGAGCACCCAACAUACACAGCCCUGUAAUGUAUGGCCGGUCUAUCUGAGGUCAAUCCUCCCACCAUGCACCCUGUGAUUGUCUCCAGUUCAGAAUAAUGUAGUUUCUGCAAAAUGAAUGAAUAAUGUGUUUUGCACUUAAAAGACACUGUAUGAAAUUGCUGACCUGGAAAUAACUUUGUCUUGUUUGCCCCACUAUCAGUGCAAAGAUUUUAAUUUAGAAUAGUGGAUUUUGGUGCAAGUCAGUGAUGUUUGUUGGUGACCCUGCAAUAAACCUGAGCCUGAGCAGAGCAUCCCUACUGAGGAGAGAUAAUUAGUCCUUAUUAGAGCAUGGCUGUCUGAUCCUCCUCUACACCCAACUCCCCCACCCUACCCCAACACACACACACACACAUACACACACAUAUGUAACCAGGAAACAGCUCCACCGAGGAGUUCUGCUGUCUACAGAGCAGCCAUGCAGUGCAGUAAGGAAAUGGUGACAAAUGCAGCCUGCCACACACUGAGAGAAACAAGAAUGGGGAGGUUUUCAGAAGUAAUAAAGACACACGUAGCGUCCAGGCCACACACCACCCUCCAGUCUACUCCACACACCUGGCCACAAGAGACAUGCAGCAAACAUCCAGUACAGACUGCAGCUGUCUACCGUACAUCACACCUUCCAGCUCACUGUCAUUCCCCUCAAACGUUCUUCACGAGACUUGUAAAACAGUGAACAUCUGCGUUUAUAGCAUCAAUUCUACUGAGAAAAAUCAAAAGGGAAGAAGAAGAGAAGGACAGGAGACACGUGUAAGAGACAGCAAAACUGACAUGACACACUUGUUUCUCAGAGGACUUUGAGAUCUGGUCACCACCCGUGUCCCCAAACACUACAUUUAUCAUCCCACUUUUCUACACUCCUUCAUUUUCCUUUGUUCUCUGCUCAAAGUCUACAAGAGUGCUGUCGAGUGCCGAGCUGCCAGCAUCAGCAACCACGCCGUCCCUCUUCACCCAGCCCGGGCCAGCAUACAUCCUAAAUGUCCUUAGAUACGGCCCUGCUAGGAGCAGUAAAGCGGCUCUUCCAGCUCUGUGCAUGUGGAUGCUGAGGUCUGCACCCAUCUGCUCAGCUCCUGCUUGCUAAUCUGCUGCUACCCACACACACACAUCCACACAUAUCGUGACAGACUGCAUGCGUUUAACUCGCCGAUAAGGGCUGGUAGAGAGCACCACAGUAGUCAUUACACUCACACAAAACUCCUACCCUGACAUAUGUGGCUUAGAAGUCUCUGCGUGGCAGGACAUUAAGCUGCUUGGCUUGCACGUGCUAUUAAAAGUUGCUGAUAUUCAAGCAGGAAACUUCGCGUUUGGUUUCUUCAACUGGACAUAUGGAAGGCUGAAGAAAAUCUUUCUUUACACAAUGGCAGAUGUCAGUCAGGAGGCGAUGGGUGUAUAUAGUUCAUCUAGAGUGCAAAGUCAAAUAAGUCAAGAUGACAAAUGGAAGACAUCUUUCUCUUACUUAAUUAGAGGGCAAGAGAGUGUACAUGUGCUCAUGAAUAUAAGGGUUAUGGUGGACUGCAAAGGUAAAUUUCCCACUGAUUUCACUCUGUAUAUGUAGCCAAGAUGUUGAAAAGUAAUGCAGUUUGAUUUUAAAGCAGAGGUGGAAAAUAAUGAACUCUUGUUAUAGUACUUGAAUACAGAAAGAGUGUUUUUUUUUUUUUGUAUAAUUAAAUCACUGUAGUUUUACUUGAGUUUUUAUAGCUCCAUUAGAAAAUAACGCAUAUACUCCUAGAAGAUUAUCAGUCAAGUUUAAGUAAUUCAUUUCAAAUCCAAUCAUUUCUGCCAAAAUUCUACAUUUCAUUCAUGAAUUGCUUAGUCAGCAGCAGGAGCAGCAAUGUCUGAGACCGUGAGACAAAUAAAUAUCCUUGGCUUGAUUUCAAUCCUCAGUUAGAAAUGUUUCAAAGGAUGAAAAGCAAAUGAAAAGCAUCUACAAACUUUUAAAAAAGUCACAACUUGUGGAGAUUUCAGCAUUUGACAUCCAAUGUGCAAAAAAUAUGUACAGGCAAAAAAUGAGUAACACAGUGAGCUAUACUAGCUACUGGAGGAAGUUCUUUAGAUGUUUUAUUACGGUAUGAAAGCUCUGUAUUAAACUUAAGACAUCAUUCAAAUGUUCGGUAGCUAAUGCCUGUUGUGUUAAAGGUGUUUUUCACACUGCUCACGUUUGCUGAGGUCCGAAUCUGAGCGUGAUUGCUCUCGGUGCCUCACCAUGGGUGUUAGAUUUUGUAUAAUUUUCAUAGGAAUUCCUUGUACAUUUUAAGUGUUUUUUGUAUUUCUUUAAAUUGUUUAUUAUUUUAUAAUGUAUUUUUUAUUUUUCUAUACCAUUGCUAUGCUCUUCAUUGUAUUAUAUUUCAGUGCACUGUUGUUCAGAAGAG